AGCGAACGCUGGCGGCAGGCUUAACACAUGCAAGUCGAGCGGGCACUUUCGGGUGUCAGCGGCGGACGGGUGAGUAACGCGUGGGAACGUGCCCUCUGGUUCGGAAUAACUCAGGGAAACUUGAGCUAAUACCGGAUACGCCCUUUUGGGGAAAGGCUUGCUGCCGGAGGAUCGGCCCGCGUCUGAUUAGCUAGUUGGUGAGGUAACGGCUCACCAAGGCUACGAUCAGUAGCUGGUCUGAGAGGAUGAUCAGCCACACUGGGACUGAGACACGGCCCAGACUCCUACGGGAGGCAGCAGUGGGGAAUAUUGGACAAUGGGCGCAAGCCUGAUCCAGCCAUGCCGCGUGAGUGAUCAAGGCCUUAGGGUUGUAAAGCUCUUUUAUCCGGGACGAUAAUGACGGUACCGGAGGAAUAAGCCCCGGCUAACUUCGUG
rnacentral:rRNA from 1 species